UAAUUCUUGAUCUGUAAUGACAAUAUGUACUCAUUUAGUCACUAAUUAGGAUUAAGCAAUCAUAUAUUUACAUCUUUGGUAAAUGACCAUUUUGCCCCUAGACUUUGGCAAAAUGAUCAUUUUACCCCUAUGCCGAAAAUUAAUUUUCAUCGAAUUUCGUUGUAUCUUAGGCCUAACCGAACUAUUUUUACUAUUAUAGCAACUUCAAAUUAUCACUAUUUCACAUACUUAUUAACUAUUUUACAACUUAUGCAAAAUAGCCCCUUUAGGAGUUUUCAUGCUAACACCUUUUACAAAAGUUGUUUAUAACACAACUAGGACUCAUAUUCCUCCAUAAAAACUCGAUAAAAAUCACAAAUCCUUUCCUGGAAACACUCUCAAAUCUUGACCAUUUUGCAAGAUAUCACCCUCAUUUGAAAACUCAUGCUUCAAGGGUCUUAAAAAUGCAAAAAUCAUCAACAAAGGGUGUGGGAAUCACUUACUUGUGAGGGCUUUUAGUUGAUGAAAAUUUUCAGCCUUCCAAACUCCAUUUUUUCUGAUAUUUUCGGUGGAGAAGAGAGAUGGAGAAGAAAGAAAUGAUAGCUAGGCGUUUAGGCAUUAUUUUAUCACUAAAUCAUGACAUCAUCCACCUAACCCUUUGACUAUUUGCUUAAAACCCAUCACAUGGCCGGCCAACACUAAUAAAAAGGGUGUAAUUGCCCUUUAAAAGCCCUCAAUUUAAGUUAUUUAGCUAUUUA
rnacentral:lncRNA from 1 species